rnacentral:rRNA from 1 species
UUUCGCCAGGGGUGAUAAUGACAGUACCUGGUAAAGAAACCCCGGCUAACUCCGUGCCACCAGCCGCGGUAAUACGGAGGGGGUUAGCGUUGUUCGGAAUUACUGGGCGUAAAGCGCGCGUAGGGGACUGGAAAGUUGGGGGUGAAAUCCCAGGGCUCAACCCUGGAACUGCCUCCAAAACUAUCAGUCUAGAGUUCGAGAGAGGUGAGUGGAAUUCCGAGUGUAGAGGUGAAAUUCGUAGAUAUUCGGAGGAACACCAGUGGCGAAGGGGCUCACUGGCUCGAUACUGACGCUGAGGUGCGAAAGUGUGGGGAGCAAACAGGAUUAGAUACCCUGGUAGUCCACACCGUAAACGAUGAAUGCCAGUCGUCGGGUAGUAUACUAUUCGGUGACACAUCUAACGGAUUAAGCAUUCUGCCUGGGGAGUACGGUCGCAAGAUUAAAACUCACAGGAAUUGACGGGGGCCCGCACAAGCGCUGGAGCAUGUGGUUUAAUUCGAAGCAACGCGCAGAACCUUACCAACCCCUGACAUCCUGUGCCACUUCCAGAGAUGG